CAAGCCGCACAGCCUAGCCCACCUGCCCUGCCAGCGCGCACCGCCCACCUCUCCGCCGCGGGUGCUGAUUGGAGAGCACGUUCCCAACCCGUGGCGUCGGUUGGCUAGUCCCAUUGCCUAUCAGGGAGGGGGCGGAGAAUUGGGCCGAGAGCGUCUCCGCCCCCCACCGGAGAAUUGCCGCUAUCUUCAGGUUUGCCUGAGAGGACGAGUUACCGGGAAAGGAGCAUCACAAUGACAAUACGCAUGCGCACGGGGAUUCUGGGACUUGUAGUUCCAGCCUCCGCCGCAACGGCCGGCCGGCCUGUCCUGAGAUGUGGGGUGCAAUGCUACUGAGAGCAGUCUUGAGUAGGUGUUCUCCUAGCUCAGCGUGUUUGUGGCCAAAGAGUUGGGCCCUUUGGAGAAAACUGGAAAUACUUUGUCACUGAGGCAGCCGGGUCGUUGCUUAACUUCUACUCGCCUGCUCAGUCCUAAAGCCGCCAGGAUCUGAAGAAUGGGCGCUGUCCCCAGAACCUUAACCCAAGCUCUUGACUAGGGCCUUGAAACCUGAAGGUGUGAAGAGGAAAGAAAGGAGUUACAGAGAUGCCAGCCUGGAGAAGGGAGUACCCCUUCACGACCUACGAAAAAAAGAUAAAGACAAUGCGCAGCUUCGUGUGGACCAGCCUAGUACUCUAAGCUGGAGUUUGCAGGAGUGGCGCAGAGACAUACAAAGACUAACUACGAAGGGUGGAGCAUUGAGACAUUUAUAUUUCAUGAUUAAGGAGUACCAAGCUCUUUGGUGAAAAGCAAAACAAAAAACUAAGACUACAAUGACUGCCACGUGUUUGCCAUGGACAGAAAGGAUGCAAUGAAUUUUAAUGCUUCACUUUUAAUUAUCUUCUUAAGUGACAGAAAUGUUCUUACUGUUGAGGAAAUACCAGCCUCUUUAUGUUCUUUUACGGACUUGGGACAUCUUUACUGCCUGUCAUGUUCAGAUUCUUGGACAAAAAGCAGAACAAAAUGUACAUUCAAAGGCAACUGAUGAUGAAGUCAUCUUGUUCUAUUCAACAUAAAGAAGUUGCCAAAUUGUUUUGUUUUUACUGAUGAAAGCAGAAAAAUGCUUUUUUUCCAUUAUUAUAAACGUGCUACCACACCAGGUAGAAUUUUUUUUAAUUAGGUUAACAUAUGAAUGAGUUUCAUUGUGGGAUCUUUGUUGUUUUAUCUUUAAGAUAAAAUGUAGCCCCUAUAUCCCUAUGAUAACAUCAAACUUCUGAUCUUCCUGCCUCAGCCUUGGGCAUGCUGGAAUUACAGCUUCCAGCUAGCAUCUUGACAACCAACUUUGUAAAAUAAGCGAAGCCAGAAUCAGCUAGGUAAGUCACUCCCCAAAUUCAGCCCCAUAAAAAACAAUGUGAUACAAUAAAUGUUUAAGGUUCAAUCCCAGCAUCAAAAAUAAAUGUUUACUAUUGCCUUAAACACUGAGUGACUGUGUGGUGAUAGAUAACUAAUAAAGUAAGAUUUGGGAAAACAAA